rnacentral:rRNA from 1 species
AUUGAACGCUGGCGGCAUGCCUUACACAUGCAAGUCGAACGGUAACGCGGGGCAACCUGGCGACGAGUGGCGAACGGGUGAGUAAUGCAUCGGAACGUGCCCAGUAGUGGGGGAUAGCCCGGCGAAAGCCGGAUUAAUACCGCACACGACCUACGGGUGAAAGCGGGGGACCGUAAGGCCUCGCGCUAUUGGAGCGGCCGAUGGCUGAUUAGGUUGUUGGUGGGGUAAAAGCCUACCAAGCCGACGAUCUGUAGCUGGUCUGAGAGGACGACCAGCCACACUGGGACUGAGACACGGCCCAGACUCCUACGGGAGGCAGCAGUGGGGAAUUUUGGACAAUGGGGGCAACCCUGAUCCAGCCAUGCCGCGUGCGGGAAGAAGGCCUUCGGGUUGUAAACCGCUUUUGUCAGGGAAGAAACGCUCUGGGCUAAUACCCCGGGGUAAUGACGGUACCUGAAGAAUAAGCACCGGCUAACUACGUGCCAGCAGCCGCCGCCGUAA